rnacentral:misc_RNA from 1 species
CCGCUUUUGCCCUUUAUUUUUUUAUUUUUCACUUCCGCUUUCACUUUCCCAUCCAAGAGUGAGGAGAUAAGCAUAAGCCCGAUAUUUAGGCAAUUACAGAGCCAGACCAUCCCAUUCCCGUAAUUUUAUCUCUGUAAUUAAGAUACCCGACAUUUCCAAUACCACCCCAUAAAUCCACCCUUCCAAUCCCUCCCUCCAGCUUUAAGGUUUCUGCUUACUACUCUGAACAACCACACACACUUCCAUUGGAAAAUUAUCACAAUUUUGAUAAGAAAAGAUAGAGCUAGGCUUAUAGAUUAGAUAGAGGAAGGGAGGGAGAUGGCGCUGUCGGAUGCAGUGAUAGCGAAUCUAACUACGAUCUACGUGGCAGCGAUCACGGGGAUUAAGGCGUAUGGGUUGGUGACUGGGCGGAGUUUCAGCGGUGGAUUUGUGUUGAUUUUGUCCACCACUCUAGUGGGUUUAAUCUUGAUUGGUUCGCUCACUUGGGACGUGUCUCGAAAAGUUACUUACGCAAUUUCGCGGGAUCAUAUUCAUGUCCACGAAAUGUGCAGGGGUGGUAUUUGUUGGCACGGCGUGGCGGUUCGGUCUCCGGCUUCCCAGGUUUGCUUCAGGCUUCCUCAGCAUCAGCCACAUAACUACGGUCCAGUGUAAAAACUCAGGUUCAGAAAAAAAAAAGGGUUUAAGAACUGUAAGAUAUAUAACCUCUUUUUUGGUUGUUGGUGUUUCAUGUUUAUAGCUGGGGCUGCCUUUACGUUGGAAAGGGCAAGACCCUUGAGGUGUUUGCUUUUUUGUUUGAGAUGAACACUAGUAUGAUGAUGUAUGUAAAUAAGAAAAAGGACUGAUAUUUGUGCAUAAAUGGUGUCACAGGCGUUUGGUUAAUUAUUUAGACUCUGCUAUAUAUGUCGAGUUCCUCUUUCAAGUCGCAGAGAUGAGGAGAUAAUGGAUGGUCUCUGAAGUCUGUUGGUUAGAGUUUUCAUCUUCAAAUCUAGAAACCAAAUUUAUUUGCAGGCAAUUUUUGGACUGAAUUUGCAAGCAGAAAGAUAAGGCUGGAUUUUCUUAUCUAGAGGCCCUCUUCAUAACCAUCUUCUUCCAAGCGAAAGUAGUCUUGCUGGAAUUAGAAGAUUAUGCAAUUUUUUAAAUUUUAUAAUAAAAUAUAUUAUCUUUUCUAUUAUCAAUAUUUUUGUUUUAUAUCUUGCAUCUCCGUGGCACUGUCAAGAGGUGCUGAGCAUAC